UAUAGGUUUUUAUAAUCAAUUAUAUGAAUAGGUCAUGCCAAAAUUUGUAUAGGUUUUUUAAUUAGUAAAAAAAAAAAAUUUCGCCUUCGACGAAUCUUGCCCCCCCUGCCGGGGAAUCCUGGAUACGCCACUGCAUGAGACAUAUGAUCAAUCUUUCUGAAAAACAGAUUUAAUAAACAAAAAAGUCAUUAAAGAAAAUAAUCAGAAAUAGGACAACAACUAUCGAAUUUCAGGAACUACAUGAACGUAUUGAGGAACAAUAAGACUAACAUUGAAAUGAACAACAAAACAAGGUUACAGAUUCAAAAAAUAAAACCAAAAAUAAAAUAAAAACAGAAAAAACAUUAACUUGGAUAGACACAUUUUCGAUUACUGUAAAAACAUACAACAACAAAAAUUACAAAAAUAUUUCUAUAAACACAUGGUCACACAUGGUAUUGUGAAUCAAAAAACAGAACACAAAUUACAAAAAUUAGGAACAACAAUAUUUGGAUAGAUACAUGUUAGAUUACUAAAAAAAACAUACAAAAGGGGAGACAAAAAUUAAACAUACGGAUUUCUAGAACACAAAUUAAGAACAAAUGGAAACAAGUCACAUACAGACCAAAAAAAACGAAGAAGAAGGACAUCAAACAAAGGCAGUCAAAAAAAAUAAGAACAAUGAAAUAGAUGCCCAAAAGGGGAAGAAGAUAUGGAAGUUGGUGAUAGGGAUGGCGAUGGUGGAGAACAAACAAAAUGGACGUAGGUCUGGAAGAAGUAACCUACGUACAAUGAGACAACACGGUCUGGUCGGAUGAAAUGAAGCAAUCGAAGAUAAGAAAACAGUCAAGGCCGACGACGCAACCGUAGGUGGAGACUGGAACGACGAGGCAACACUCUGGAACGGCGAGGCAAUACCGGACUGACUGAAAACGCGAACACAAGAAUAGACAACGACGAACGACGGAGAGGCAAGAUCGAGACGCGAACGCGAUCUGGAACUGGAGAUGACCGGAAGAAGAAAUUAGUCGAUCGUCACUGUGGGUGUGGAAGGGUUUAACGCCUGGAGGAGAUGAGGAAAUGAAAGAAUUGGAUGGGAAACAAAAAAAAAAAACGUACUCUCUGAAAAGGUGUUGUAACCGACACCGGUUCACUCUGUUUAUCACUUACACAAAAAU
rnacentral:lncRNA from 1 species